rnacentral:rRNA from 1 species
GUGGGGAAUUGUUCGCAAUGGGCGCAAGCCUGACGACGCAACGCCGCGUGGAGGAUGAAGAAUUUCGGUUCGUAAACUCCUUUCGAUCGGGACGAAUCGGUCACGGCCUAAUACGCCGUGGCACUGACGGUACCGAGAGAAGAAGCCCCGGCUAACUCCGUGCCAGCAGCCGCGGUAAUACGGGGGGGGCAAGCGUUGUUCGGAAUUACUGGGCGUAAAGGGCGCGUAGGCGGCCUGCUAAGUCGGACGUGAAAUCCCUCGGCUCAACCGAGGAACUGCGUCCGAUACUGGUGGGCUUGAAUCCGGGAGAGGGAUGUGGAAUUCCAGGUGUAGCGGUGAAAUGCGUAGAUAUCUGGAGGAACACCGGUGGCGAAGGCGGCAUCCUGGACCGGUAUUGACGCUGAGGCGCGAAAGCUAGGGUAGCAAACGGGAUUAGAUACCCUGGUAGUCC